AGAGUUUGAUCCUGGCUCAGGAUGAACGCUGGCGGCGUGUCUUAGGCAUGCAAGUCGAACGCCCGAGCAUUUGUUUACAAAUGCUCGGGAGUGGCAAACGGGUGCGUAAGACAGUGAUAAUCUACCCUGAGGUUAAGAAUAACUUUGCGAAAGCGAAGCUAAUACUCAAUAGUCAAGGGGGGGCAUAAGCUAUUUCCCUUGUAAAGUCUUCGGACGCCUCGGGAGGAGUCUUUGGCCUAUCAGCUUGUUGGUAGGGUAAUGGCCUACCAAGGCAAUGACGGGUAGCGGGUGUGAGAGCAUGACCCGCCUCACUGGGACUGAGACACUGCCCAGACUCCUACGGGAGGCUGCAGUCGAGAAUCUUCCCCAAUGCGCGAAAGCGUGAGGGAGCGACGCCGCGUGAAUGAAGAAGCCCUUCGGGGUGUAAAAUUCUUUUCUUUAGGAAAAAUUCGUGAUGGUACUAAAGGAAUAAGGGGCCGCCAAACUCGUGCCAGCAGCGGCGGUAAUACGAGUGCCCCAAGCGUUAUCCGGAAUUACUGGGCGUAAAGCGCUAAAAGGCUGUUUGAUAAGUCAGACGUCAAAUCUCCGGGCUCAACUCGGAAAAGGUGUCUGAAACUGUCUUACUUGAGGAUGGAAGAGGCAAGCGGAAUGGCUGGUGUAGCAGUAAAAUGCGUUAAUAUCAGCUAGAACACCAAUGGCGAAAGCAGCUUGCUAGGACAUUCCUGACGCUAAAUAGCGAAAGCGUGGGUAGCGAAUGGGAUUAGAUACCCCAGUAGUCCACGCCCUAAACGAUGGAUGCUAGGUAUUGGGGGCCCGACCCCCCCAGUAUCGUUUUCCAAGCUAACGCGUUAAGCAUCCCGCCUGGGGAGUACGGCCGCAAGGCUAAAACUCAAAGGAAUUGACGGGGACCCGCACAAGCGGUGGAGCAUGUGGUUUAAUUCGACGAUAAGCGAGGAACCUUACCAGGACUUGACAUCCUGCGAAUCCGCCAGAAAUGGCAGAGUGCCUUCGGGAACGCAGUGACAGGUGCUGCAUGGUUGUCGUCAGCUCGUGUCGUGAGAUGUACGGUUAAGUCCGAAAACGAGCGCAACCCCUAUCCUAUGUUAAAUCUUCAUGGGAAACUGCCCUGGAUAACAGGGAGGAAGGUGGGGAUGACGUCAAAUCAGCAUGGUCCUUACGUCCUGGGCGACACACGUGCUACAAUGGGAAGUACAAAGGGAAGCCAAGCCACAAGGUGGAGCAAAUCCCAUCAAAACUUCUCUCAGUUCGGAUUGAGGUCUACAACUCGACCUCAUGAAGCUGGAAUCGCUAGUAACCGUAUAUCAGCCACGGUACGGUGAAUACGUUCUCGGGUCUUGUACACACCGCCCGUCACGCCAAGAGAGCCGGUAAUACCCGAAGCUCCUAAUUCUAGGAUUUAAGGUAGGAUCGGUGAUAGGGGCGAAGUCGUAACAAGGUAACC
rnacentral:rRNA from 1 species